rnacentral:rRNA from 1 species
UAGGUUAUCUUCGGCAAUGGGGGCAACCAUGACCGAGCAACGCCGCGUGAGUGAAGAAGGUUUUCGGAUCGUAAAGCUCUGUUGUAAGAGAAGAACGUGUGUGAGAGUGGAAAGUUCACACAGUGACGGUAACUUACCAGAAAGGGACGGCUAACUACGUGCCAGCAGCCGCGGUAAUACGUAGGUCCCGAGCGCUGUCCGGAUUGAUUGGGCGUAAAGCGAGCGCAGGCGGUUUAAUGAGUCUGAAGUAAAAGGCAGUGGCUUAACAACUGUUCGCUUUGGAAACUGUUAAACUUGAGUGCAGAAGGGGAGGGUGGAAUUCCAUGUUUAGCAGUGAAAUGCGUAGAUAUAUGGUGGAACACCGGUGGCGAAGACGGCUCUCUGGUCUGUAGCUGACGCUGAUGCUCGAAAGCGUGGGGAGCAAACAGG